rnacentral:rRNA from 1 species
AGUGAACGCUGGCGGUAGGCCUAACACAUGCAAGUCGAACGGCAGCACAGUAAGAGCCUGCUCUUACGGGUGGCGAGUGGCGGACGGGUGAGGAAUACAUCGGAAUCUACUUUUUCGUGGGGGAUAACGUAGGGAAACUUACGCUAAUACCGCAUACGACCUACGGGUGAAAGCAGGGGAUCUUCGGACCUUGCGCGAUUGAAUGAGCCGAUGUCGGAUUAGCUAGUUGGCGGGGUAAAGGCCCACCAAGGCGACGAUCCGUAGCUGGUCUGAGAGGAUGAUCAGCCACACUGGAACUGAGACACGGUCCAGACUCCUACGGGAGGCAGCAGUGGGGAAUAUUGGACAAUGGGCGCAAGCCUGAUCCAGCCAUACCGCGUGUGUGAAGAAGGCCUUCGGGUUGUAAAGCCCUUUUGUUGGGAAAGAAAAGCAGCAGGUUAAUACCCCGCUGUUCUGGCGGUACCCAAAGAAUAAGCACCGGCUAACUUCGUG